AGGGAAAAGUUGACCUCAUCAGAGGCACGCCAUUCGACUGAGUGACCUAUCAGCUUGUACUUAGGGUCUUUACCUAGGUAGGCUAUCACGGGUAACGGGCGGUUACCGUCGGACUGCCGGAGAAGGCGCCUGAGAGAUAGCGACUAUAUCCACGGGUAGCAGCAGGCGCGAAACUUUCCCACUCGAGACUUUCGGAGGAGGUAAUGACCAGUUCCAUUGGUGCCUUUUGGUACUGUGGAUAGGGGUACGGUUUUCCACCGUACCGAAACCUAGCAGAGGGCCAGUCUGGUGCCAGCAGCUGCGGUAAUUCCAGCUCUGCGAGUUUGCUCCCAUAUUGUUGCAGUUAAAACGCCCGUAGUCUGAAUUGGCCAGCAAUGGUCGUACGUAUUUUUACGUUCACUGUGAACAAAUCAGGACGCUUAGAGUAUGGCCACAUGAAUGACUCAGCGCAGUAUGAAGUCUUUGUUUUCUUCCGAAAACAAGCUCAAUGAGAGCCAUCGGGGGUAGAUCUAUCUCAUGACGAGUGGUGGAAUACUUUGACUCAUGAGAGAGAAGCUGAGGCGAAGGCGUCUACCUAGAGGGUUUCUGUCGAUCAAGGGCGAGAGUAGGAGUAUCCAACAGGAUUAGAGACCCUGGUAGUUCCUACCUUAAACGAUGCCGACAGGAGUUUGUCAUUUGUUAAUGGCAGAAUCUUUGGAGAAAUCAUAGUUCUUGGGCUCUGGGGGAACUACGACCGCAAGGCUGAAACUUGAAGGAAUUGACGGAAGGGCACACCAGGGGUGGAGCCUGUGGCUUAAUUUGAAUCAACACGGGGAAACUUACCAGGACCAGAUGUUUUUUAUGACUGACAGGCUUCGGGUCUUUCAGGAUAUUGUUUUUGGUGGUGCAUGGCCGUUGGUGGUGCGUGGGUUGACCUGUCUAGCGUUGAUUCA
rnacentral:ncRNA from 1 species